UACGAAGGGGGCUAGCGUUGCUCGGAAUUACUGGGCGUAAAGAGCGCGUAGGCGGCCAGAUAGGUCUGCUGUGAAAACUCGAGGCUCAACCUCGAGAUGUCGGCGGAAACCAUUUGGCUAGAGUCCGGAAGAGGAAAGUGGAAUUCCUGGUGUAGCGGUGAAAUGCGCAGAUAUCAGGAAGAACACCCGUGGCGAAGGCGGCUUUCUGGGACGGUACUGACGCUGAGACGCGAAAGCGUGGGGAGCGAACAGG
rnacentral:rRNA from 1 species